AUUGAACGCUGGCGGCAUGCCUUACACAUGCAAGUCGAACGGUAACAGGUCUUCUGAUGCUGACGAGUGGCGCACGGGUGAGUAAUACAUCGGAACGUGCCUCUUAUUGGGGGAUAACUACUCGAAAGAGUGGCUAAUACCGCAUGAGAUCUACGGAUGAAAGCAGGGGAUCGCAAGACCUUGUGCUACUAGAGCGGCCGAUGGCAGAUUAUGUAGUUGGUGGGAUAAAAGCUUACCAAGCCGCCGAUCUGUAGCUGGUCUGAGAGGACGAGCAGCCAAACGGGAAUGGAGAAAGGGCCAAGACGCCUAGGGGAGGCAGAAGGGGGGAAUUUGGGACAAGGGGCGCAAGCUUGAUCCAGCAAGGCGGCGGGGAGGAUGAAGGCCUUCGGGUUGUAAACUGCUUUUGUACGGAACGAAAAGCCUUGGGUUAAUACCCUGGGGUCAGGACGGUACCGUAAGAAUAAGCACCGGCUAACUACGU
rnacentral:rRNA from 1 species